ACGCUUGCUUUGGCAGCGCAUAUACUAAAAUUGGAACAAUACAGAGACUAGCAUGGCCCAUGCACAAGGAUGACAUGCAAAUUCGUGAAGCGUUCCAUAUUUUU